ensembl:lncRNA
UUGUUAUUUUUGUUAUAAAUAAAUGGAUUGACAUAUCCGAUGUUAAGUUCAGAAGUUAUGAAACAACGAUAGCGAGUGGAUAUCUGGCAUUUGUAAUGUCCCCGACUGGAAGCAGCUAACAUUGCGACACACAGUCCUCCUCCCCGGGCCGGGAGAGCGAGGGGGAGAGAGGGGGAGACUCCCGGUGCAAAGGGAGGGAAGGGGGACCGUUGAGGAAGGAGUGGCGGUUAUGUGGCAAAACUCUCAACCUCUCUGAAGAGUUGUGUCCUCGCUUGUGUAUUUGUGGAGAAAGGGCAAGGUGAAUCCCAUCCAGCACUUCGUCCCAUAGGAGGAUCCGUGUAACGCGCCCGUGCAGGGAUGGAGGGAGAGAAGGAGCGACAGAGGCAGCAGCGGGAAGAGAAGGAGAGCAACGAGGCGGAGGACAACAGGACCAGCGACGAGGACGCCGACAAUGAUGAAGUGGAGGAGGAGGAAGAUUCAGAAUGCGCAGCCCUGGUCUGGCAAGAGGGCUAUGGCGAAGACAACCUGGGCCUUCCCAUCAUGCACUGGGAGGCGCUAAGCCUGCGCAUUGCCGAGCUGGAGAAGCAGGAGGAGGAAAACAAGGAGAAGAAGGCAAAGAGGGGAGUUUCUCUUGAGAGAGGAAGAGCACCGGUCAGCUGGACGGAGGAGAGAGGAAGAAGAAGGGAGAGCUGGGAAGACGGAGAUGAUGCCUGCAACAGCCACGUGCUGGCGCUCACCUCCCGCCUGCAGACGCAGAUGAACCUGCAGCUCUGCUUCAUCAACAACAGUGAAAGUGAGGAGGAGGAAGAGGACGAGAAGGUGAGCAGCAACACGCGGCUAACUACUGCUGUCUACAGUUGUUAUGGGUGAGCUGGAACAUCUGAGGAGUAACCCUGUCCCCAUAUUGUCCCUCCCUGCUGGUAAAGAAAGGGGCGGCUCAGGUCCAGAAGACUCCUCAGCCUCCUGCCAAGCCGGAGAAACCCAAAUCCAGAGGCUUCAGGAACACCCUGAGGAACCUACGAGACCGCCUGAGAACUGACCACAGGACGCCGGCUGCAGCUCGUAGUGAACCUGUAGUCCAGAAAAAACAUGUUGAGCGCAGUGAUCUACAGAACCUCAGCAUGAAGGACCUGAAUGCACUUUGUGCGUCUCUCAGCCAGAACAUCCAAGACCUGAGCUCAGACCUGGUGGGCCGCCUGCAGGCCCGAGACCAGCUGAGGACGGAGCAGGACGCCAUGCUGCUGGAGGUCCAGGACCUGACGUCGCAGUGAGCCUGCGGAUCGCUCCGAGCUGGAGUUCCCACAGACACACAAUCUUAAAUGUUCUGAGUCGGCCUCUACGAACAUCUCAGUCAGUCCCUCCGCCUGUCGGUCUGACCAGCCAAACAAUGUGAAGAGUGUCGCUCCCUGAAAGGACAAGGACAUUCCGUUUUAAUGUUACUCAGUGUAUUAUGUAUUUAUAAGGAAACCUUUGUCCACCAGCAGUGGUUUGAAACUCGUGGCAGAACCAGCUUUGUUCAGUCACAGUUGUACGGUACGGUCGACAAACAGAAACUGAGUAAAACGCCACAUCUGGGCAGUGGUUGCUGACCUGAGAGGAACAAACUCUUUUCAUCCGGGUCACGUUUUUGGGCGGUUCUAGACACGGAGAGAUGUCACUGAUCAAGUGUCUGACAUCAGAGUCGUCGCUCAAAGGAUCCGAGUAGUGUUGAUGAAGUCCAUCUUCAUUUCCCUCAUCGUGGGGAUUUAUGACCACUUGUGCCGACACUAAGGAGCAACGUUUCCGUCAGCAGAUCCCAGUCCUUUUCGUAUCUGGCUCAAGAGUAUAUUUUCAAAAUACUACGUACAAAAAUAGGGGAAAGACUUACGGUUGGAUGACUAUUCUCCUCACCCCUCCUGAGUUAUGCGUAUUGUUUAUUUCUUUGAACCGAUAGCCUGGUUAAAUAGUUAAUUAUUAACUUCUCCAUUGCAAAGAGGUUUGCUCUACUAAUGUUGAAAUGUCAUUAACAUUUUUUUUGGACUGUAAGGGUAUUUUUAAGUGCUAUUGUCAGUACUAGUCUGUAACGUGUGGCUCAUCUUUGAACACAAGGAUUCAAAAGGGACUCCUGUUUAGAAGCUGCUAAUUCUGUCAACGCAGAAUUCUAUUUUGUUUUUCUAAUUUGUGUAGUUGUAGUUUUUUUGUAUUAUUUUAUGUUCAUGUUUAUCUUUGUGUAGCCUUUCUCAUCCCUCUUUGUCCAAACAUUAUGUGGUUCAGAACCGAGCCAGAACCAACUUCCAACAGGAAUAUCCUGUAUUCAUCAUUGACAAAUAUAGGUCUUGGCUACAAUCGGCACUUAUCCAUUUGAAAAUACUUCAAAUACAACUCCCAAGUUAUUAAAUAUGUUAUGCAAAUUAUUCCAGAAAAUGUUCACAUCAAAGCUAGAAGCGAAGAAAGACACCGACUUGCCAGACGAGACUACGCGAAAGACGCCGAUAUCCAAAUGACAGGAGGCAAAAAUCCAGAUUUGGACUGUAGUCUCUCUGCCGUGAGGCCUGCGAAAAGCCUCUUCUAGAGUAGUUUCUCUUUGCUCUUCUCAACGUGGAACUUCACACGCUUACUGUCUGUGCUAUCGCGUACAUGUGUUUUAUUUGUUUUGUUAAUUCUCAAAAUCCCUUUUUUUGUCUUUGUCUUUUGUCUAUCUAUUUCUUCACCAGUAACAUAUAAAUUGAUUUUUACACAUCAGAACACUCAGUGUUUAGUGUUUCCUUUAUCCUAACAGGAAAGAAGAAGACAAUUGUUUACACAGACGAGGUGGUUUCAGUGUUAUUACUCUUUUUAUCAUAGGCACGCCAUUUUCUGAGCAAAGGCCAAAAAGCAGGCUCGGGGACCUUAUGUUAAAUUAAGUCCAAGGGUUUUUUGUUAAAGGGUUUUUAAUGUAAAACAAAGUUUUCUCGUCGUCCAGAAUAGCUUAAGAGGAUUUUUUUUUAA